CCUGACACUCACGCCCAUUGAGAAAGUGGGCAUAGAUCAAUUUAUACACUCUCUUCCGGUCGAAGCUAAAAGGUUAGCCAGCCAAGCUAACCUGCAGGGCGCAGAUCAGCUGGUGGAACUGGUGUAAGGACAACAGGUGGCUUUGGAGGCUCUGCGCAGAGGACAACCAUGGAAGGCGGACCCUCCACUCGCCCAAAGGAGCGAAAAAGGGAGGAGGACCAGGCCGGGACCCCGGCCAAGGAUAGGGGGACACCCACAGUCAGCUCCCCGAGACGACACGCCUUCCUGAACCUGGACAGCAGGAAAUGUGUGUGGUGAGCCGGGACACAUCGCCUGGAACUGUUUAAACCGCUAUGUCCCGAUCCCUUUAGCUUCACCCAGUGAGGUAGCCAACGGGCGGCCCUGCGGCUUGCUGAUGGCAUGCUGGCCUAGGGAGAGUGGUCCUUCCCCUGUCACCCCGGUAAGAGCCAAUGGAAAGGACACCACGGCACUUGUGGACUCCGGGAGUAUGGUGACCCUGGUCCGAGCUGAUGUCGCCCAGUCCUCGAACCUGGCGGAGACCGUGGCCAUUAUGUGCAUACACGGUGAGACCAAGGACUACCCUACUACACUCUUCCACCUACAGACCACAAAGGGACAACACAUGGGACCGUGGGAGUCGUCCCAAACCUGCCUGUCUCAGUCCUUAUCAGGAGGGAUUUCCCGAUGUUCCGCCAAUUGUGGACCAGUAUGUCCGGAGACGUGGGGAACCGAGGGAACCAGAAGGGAGGAGGAAGGCGGAGAGGUGGGAGAGACGCCAGGAGAGGGAUGCCCGGAUGUGUGGAUUCCAGGAAGUGGACCCCCAGGCGUCAACUGACCCCCUCUGAGGGGGACUCUGUUGAAGCCAGACUGGAGAUAGAGGUGGCGAUUCGGAAGACAUGUUCCCGAUUGACCAUGAGGUGGCGCCAGAGCCCGCCUCUCUAGCGGGCCGGUUAGGCACAACCCAACUGGAGGAUUCCAACUUGGCCAGCGCUCUCCAGCAGGUGACCAUGGUGGACGGAAAGCCCGUGGAUGGGUAAGUCAAAUCGCCUACCCCCAUUUUUCUAUAAAGAAGAAGUUCCUAUAUCAGGUCGUGAAGAAGAAUGACGAAUGUAUGGAGUUGUUGUUGGUGUCCCGUCCCUUUGUACCGUCUGUCCUGCAUUUGGCGCACUCCCACCUUCUUGGGGCUCACCUAGGGGUGAAGAAGACUUUAGACAGGAUCAAGGCACGGUUUUAAGGACCGGGGGUGAAGAGAGCAGUGAAAGAAUACUGCCGCAGUUGCCCGGAGUUCCAGCAGGUGGUGCCAAAACCCCAUUAUCGCAGUCCCUUAAUUCUCCUACCAUUAUUUCAGUCCCUUUCAGCAGGAUUGCGAUGGACCUGGUGGGACCUCUACCAAAGAGCAACCGAGGCCACCUACACAUUCUGGUGAUUCUGGAUUAUGUCAUCAGGCACCCAGAAGCCAUUCCCCUGUGCACCAUGGCCACCAAGGGAAUCGCACGUGAGUUGGUCAUCCUGUUCUCCCGAGUAGGCAUCUCCGACAAGAUAUUGACCGACCAGGGUACCCCAUUCAUGUCGCGAAUCAUGAAGGAUCUAUGCAAGCUAAUGAAAAUAACCCAGUUGCACACCUCAGUGUUUUGCCCGCAGACCGAUAGGUUGGUGGAAAGGUUUAAUCGAACCCUGAAGCAGAUGAUAAAGAAGGUGAUAGAGGCUGAUGGAAUUAAUUGGGACCAGCUGCUACCUUACCUGAUGUUCUCGAUCCGAGUAGUGCCCCAAGCUUCAACAGGAUUCUCUCCCUUCGAACUCCUGUACGGGAUGCGACCCCGAGGACUGCUGGAUGUGGAUAAAGAAGCCUGGGAACAAAAACUGUCUUGGCGGCAUACAUCGACGAUAUUGUGGUCCAUGGGAGCGAGUGGGAGACACAUCUAAACCAGGGGAGCGCAGUACUGCAGACCUUACGGGAGGCGGGGCUAACAGCGAAUCCAAAGAAAUGUCGGCUCAGCCUGCGGGAGGCUGAGUACCUGGGGUACACGAUCGGGAGGUGAUGUGUCAAACCCCAGGUGAAGAAAGUGGAGGCGAUUUGGGACUGGCACCGCCCCCUCACCAAGAAGCAGGUGACAUGGACCAAGGAGACGGAGAAAGCCUUCCAGGACCUAAAGGGAGCACUGUGUUCUGGACCUGUGCUGCUGACCCCGGACAUCUCCAAACCAUUGGUGGUACCGACCGAUGCGUUCGAAACCGGGGUAGAUGCCGUCCUAUCACAGCUACAAGAAGAUCAGGUGCAGCCCAUGAAAAUGCCAAUGCUCUCUCCAGGAGGGAUGCUCUAGGUAGCUGGACUGAAGGCGGGGGGUGUGUGGCAGACGGCCGGGAGAGGUGAGGGGAGUGGUUAUUGAGGGGAGAUAUCUUGCAUCCCGCUGGCUCAACCCCCAAGCCUUAUAUGGACUUCCUGUCCCAACGAGGCGAGGCUCUGGAUCAUUAAGCCAGGGAGUGCUUGAAGAUAAAAGAGGAAGCGGUCUGCACAAAGAGGAAGAGAAUGGAGAGAAAAACAUGCGUAAUGAAGAGUGGGAGAAGAGAGAAAAAUAUCUGUGUGAUUACUCGUUGUGACCUGGACUGUCUGAUUACCCCCCUUGUGUACCGGAUUGGCUGAUG